ensembl:lncRNA
AGGUGACCACUCAGUCGUCUCGGCCAUGCAGGAGCAAAGAGGGCAUGUGUCACCCCAGAGGUGGUGACAUUGGAGCUGUGACCUGAAUGACGAGGAGCAAGGACAGCGAAAGGGCCUUCCAGGCCAAGGGGACAGCAAGGACAAGAGUCCUGGAGCAGGAAAGGACUUGGCUUUAUGUGAGGAGCAGAGGGAGGCCAGUGUGGCCGAGGCGGAGUGAGCGAGGGGAGAAGUGGACUGAGCUGGGCUCAGAGGGGUAGGCAGGCCAGGUUCAGAGUGUACCUCUAAAAGGGCAGGGCGCCGUCUGGAAGAGGGGAAGGAAGGUGUGGAGAGUUCCCAGUACAGGCAGAGGGAACAGCAUGAGAUAAGGCCCAGAGGUGGGUGGGGUACAUGGGGAAAUUCCAGUAGCUCAUUCUGGUCCUGUGGUGUUGGAGAAGACUCUUGAGAGUCCCUUGGACUGCAAGGAGGUCCAAUCAGUCCAUCCUAAAGGAACUCAGUCCUAAAUAUUCAUUGGAAAGACUGAUGCUGAAGCUGAAAUUCCAAUACUUUGGCCACCUGAUGCAAAGAACCGACUCAUUUCUUCAAUAAAAGACCCUGAUGCUGAGAAAGAUUGAAGGCAGGAGGAGAAGGGGACAACAGAGGAUGAGAUGGUUGGAUGGCAUCACCAAUUCAAUGGACAUGAGUUUGAGUAAACUCCAGGAGUUGGUAAUAGACAGGGAGGCCAGGCAUGUUGCAGUCCAUGAGGUUGCAAAGAGUUGUACACGACUGAGCAACUGAACUGAACUGAACUGAGGACUAUUGAAUGUAUGAGCAAAUCCAGGGGAAGGGCUCAGCCUGGGACACAUUAAGGGCUCACCACGUGGAGGAGGCUACAGCUGCCUUCAGACAUCGAAGAGGGGAACCCCCAGAAGCCCAAGGGUGCGGUCUGUGGUCAGGGCAGCGAAUGGCCCCCGGGAGGCUGCACUCUGGGCUCUGGUCCUGGCGGCAUGAUCAACUUUCUGGGCGACUUCGGACAAGUCACUCUCCCUCUCUGAACUUUAGUGUCCUCAUCUAUAAAGCGAGCACACUGGUCUAAGACCCCAGCCGGGUAUGCGGCAGGAUGGGGCUCUGAAACUCAGGUGUCCACAGAGAACAAGCUGAGCACAGGAGAGGUGGGAAUUGUCAAAAACCUGAGAAAACGCAGCUCGUUCAGUGAGGGGGCCACUGCUCUGCCCCAGCCUGCUGUAGUGAUGCAGGGUGUGUGUGUGUGUGUGUGUGUGCACGCGUACAUGUGUGUGCGUGCUGGGGUUACUAGCAAAUCUUCAGACUGGAAAUCCAAUUUUUAAAAAAUAUUUAUUUUCAAUAUAUUUGGCUUGCCAGGUCUUAGCUGCAGCCCUCGGAACCUUUAGUUGUGGCGUUCAAACUCCUGAUUGCGGCAUGUGGGAUCUAGUUCUCUGACCGGGAACCAAACCCCAGGCCUCCUGCAUUGGGAGGACAGAGUCUUAGCCUCCAGGCCCCCAUGGAAGUCCCUCAAUUAUUAAAAAAUAAGAAAUCAUCUGACUUUUAAAUGUUGGUUCACUUCUUUUUAAAAAUCACUACUUGGGAUCAUCUCAUCUACUAGACCCAGAAUGACUCACACCUCCACAAACUUACCACUCUUAUUUUGGCAUUUUUGGAAAGAGGAGAGAGAGCAGGUAGAAAGGAGGAAAUAGACAGGGUCCUGGGGGGAGAAGUCCUGAACCCCCAAGAUUGAGGACGACGCAGUGCAUCCUGGCAGCAAACGAUCGCCGAAUGACUGCUAUGAGCUGAGUGUCUCUUCUGAGCUCACUCGG